GAUGAACGCUGGCGGCGUGCCUAAUACAUGCAAGUCGAGCGAACGGACGAGAAGCUUGCUUCUCUGAUGUUAGCGGCGGACGGGUGAGUAACACGUGGAUAACCUACCUAUAAGACUGGGAUAACUUCGGGAAACCGUAGCUAAUACCGGAUAAUAUUUUGAACCGCAUGGUUCAAAAGUGAAAGACGGUCUUGCUGUCACUUAUAGAUGGAUCCGCGCUGCAUUAGCUAGUUGGUAAGGUAACGGCUUACCAAGGCAACGAUGCAUAGCCGACCUGAGAGGGUGAUCGGCCACACUGGAACUGAGACACGGUCCAGACUCCUACGGGAGGCAGCAGUAGGGAAUCUUCCGCAAUGGGCGAAAGCCUGACGGAGCAACGCCGCGUGAGUGAUGAAGGUCUUCGGAUCGUAAAACUCUGUUAUUAGGGAAGAACAUAUGUGUAAGUAACUGUGCACAGCUUGACGGUACCUAAUCAGAAAGCCACGGCUAACUACGUG
rnacentral:rRNA from 1 species